rnacentral:rRNA from 1 species
UACGUAGGGUGCAGGCGUUAAUCGGAAUUACUGGGCGUAAAGCGUGCGUAGGUGGUUUGUUAAGUCUGAUGUGAAAGCCCUGGGCUCAACCUGGGAAUUGCAUUGGAUACUGGCAGGCUAGAGUGCGGUAGAGGAUGGCGGAAUUCCCGGUGUAGCAGUGAAAUGCGUAGAGAUCGGGAGGAACAUCUGUGGCGAAGGCGGCCAUCUGGACCAGCACUGACACUGAGGCACGAAAGCGUGGGGAGCAAACAGG